UACGUAGGGUGCAGGCGUUAAUCGGAAUUACUGGGCGUAAAGCGUGCGCAGGCGGUUUCUUAAGUCAGAUGUGAAAGCCCCGGGCUUAACCUGGGAACUGCGUUUGAAACUGGGAGACUUGAGUGUGGCAGAGGGGGGUGGAAUUCCACGUGUAGCAGUGAAAUGCGUAGAUAUCUGGAGGAACACCGGUGGCGAAGGCGGCAUCCUAGACCAACACUGACACUGAGGAGCGAAAGCCAGGGGAGCAAACGGG
rnacentral:rRNA from 1 species